UGGGCAACCUGCCCUCAGCUCUGGGAUAACUCCAAGAAAUUGGGGCUAAUACCGGAUAUGACCGCUGACCGCAUGGUCUGGUGGUGGAAAAGAUUUUAUCGGCUGGGGAUGGGCCCGCGGCCUAUCAGCUUGUUGGUGGGGUAGUGGCCUACCAAGGCGACGACGGGUAGCCGGCCUGAGAGGGUGACCCGGCCACACUGGGACUGAUACACGGCCCAGACCUCCGUACGGGA
rnacentral:rRNA from 1 species